rnacentral:lncRNA from 1 species
AUGAUGUUAACCCAAGAUGACUCCUCAUCCAGAGGGGUUCAGAACACGGAAGUGGAGUGCAGGAUUCCUGCCUGUCAGCUAAGCGGGAUGUCUAACAGAUUCACUGGCCAAUGGCUCAGAUUCCUGCAGCUGCCGCCAGAAGUGAGUUGCACCAGGAGGCGCGCACUUCCUCCUGAAGGAGGGGCGUCGCUUCCCCUGCGCCCCGUGGCACCCGCGGAGCUGCAGAGAACACGGAGGAGCAGACACAACCACCGGCCUCCUGUGGGGCGCCCGGUCCCCCCCAGGACGCAGGGUGGAGACCCCCGCAGCUCGAGUCAAAGCACAGGCCGCUCCACGCCCCGAGGGAAGACCCUGCACCCGCCGUCAGCUGAUGACUUCACUCAUGGCCUUAUUUUAGAAUAACUGUAAUACUACAUUUUAAAAUAGGAGCAUCGAGGGCGUGGCCAGACACUCACUCGGCAGGGCAGCCCAAACGCAGGCAUUGUCGGGCCGAUGAAGUUCUCAAGCCCAGCUCCGUGGUGGUGGCAAGAAGUCCUGCCGGCUCUGGGGCAGCAGCGCUUGGUGAGCAGGAGACAGCUGUACAGUUCCCCGUAAUUAGUCAAGGUCACACACUGCAAAUGGGAGACAUUCACCAUUCGUGGGGGAACAAUGGCCGGGACCCAAGCCUCUGGCUGGGGAUGCAGCGGGGCCUCUGUGCCUGGGGUGACUCGGCCCGCCCUUCUCUAGAGACAGCUAGAAAGAGACAGACACGGGAUGAUACCGGGGUUCGCACCGGCGAGGUCCGCGGAUGGCACAACACAGGGUCUCGCUUUCACUGCAGAGCACACGUUCAUUGACACGUCACGAUGUCGGUGACGCUUGGAGGAGACGCUGAAAGAAGGAACGAGAGAAUAACUGUGGUUUUACAUGUGCUUGGGAUUCCGUGUUCCCUCCUCCAUUCAGUGGAAUAAUCUCUUAAAUUACCAACUGAUUCAUUGUACUCUUUUAAAUAAAAGGAUGAUGACUUGCAAAUGAAGAGUAGAGC